UGUUUUCGUGAGUUCUGGCGCUGCAAGUUUCGUAUCCACAAACAGGGCCUUGUUUAGCUGUUAGGAUCUGGUUUUGGGGUCUGGAUUCGUCGUAUUUCGUUGUCUAAAGUUUUUAGGAUCAUCUUGAUACGUUUUAUGGUUUGGUACAGUAGGUUUUUAGGGAAUUUCGAGGGUUUUUUUCCUUCGCCGUUGACGGCCUCGGUUUACCGGAAGUAUGGAUAGACAUUUCUCCCUUGUCCCGUGCAGUGGUCCCGUGACACUCUUGUGAAAGGAGUACAGAUCUGGCAUCUUGACAGGACCCCGGGGAGUCAUAAAACAACCUGAACAGCGUCACCCGAAGACGGAAGGCGAGAGGAAAAUACCAGACCGGGACCAGAUGCAGGUCCCUGGCUGCAUGCGUUGUUAGCAUUUUUUUUCUGUACUCCGGCAUGGUUAUGUUCCACCUAGAUUGCUUAAACUGGGACAUUUUGUUCCCUGGAAACAACCAUAACCAUGGAUGUUUCUGCCUGCUGUCCUCUGCCAGGGAACCAAUGUCUAUUCUAUACAGCUAUCUAAAUUUAUAUGCAUUCUUUACUGGGAGGUUUGACUUCUUCUUUGGAGGCAGUGGCUGAUGAAAAGUCCCACGUCUUUAAUGAUUAGUGGGUUCUGUGAUUUUAACAGGAAUGUAGUUUUUUGGAGGUCUACUAGCUGAUGAAAAGUCGGAAAUAUUGUUUUGAUUGUGUCAAAAAGGUUGUUUUUCAUCCUCAUAUUGGGGACAGUUACUCAUAAAUGCAUUUCAUCUUCCACUGCAUCCGUCGCACAGUAUUUGCACAAUCUAUCUUGAACUGACAACUUUUUAUAACUACCCUUUUCUAUCUCUCGAGGGUGAGCGCUGAUUCUCAUCUUACAUACUCUGUCAUAUACGUGGAAUGAGAUACGUGUACAGUGCAAUCCGACACUACCUUGGAACGUUUGUAAUUACACUCGUAUUGUUCUGCAAUGGUGAAGUCACCAAUGUUGUGUUGUGUUGUGGGAGCAGACAUUUGUCUAGUACUGAGACAGAAUGUAAAGACCUCUUGAUUUCUAAGGUUAGUGGAUUCAGUUCAGGAGAGACAAUAGAGAACUUAGAUUGCAAUAUUAUGACGUCUGUUAUAACGUUAAAAGUCUUCCGUACCCACCGUACGGAAACCCUUGUCUCUGCGUCAUUUCUUUAUCCUUCAUGUGCUGAUCUUCCAGUCUGGCCGGCCCGGGCUUUGAUUCCGGAAGCCAGGAGACUGUGAUACAGAUCGCAUCACAUCAACUAACAAAUCUAGACUAACACUCUAUUGUUGGGAAUCUCGUCGUGCCUAACAGGAUCACAACAACAUGAUGCCGAGUGAGCCUGGUCGUCCUUUUGUGGACCUUACCGUCCAUCAUGACAAGUAACCACCACCACACUAUUUAUUAACUUUCAUUUCUUCAUUCCAUAUCAUAAACAUAUAAAUCACAUCCCAACCACUUUGAAGUCAAACAUCAUAUCAAAUAACAAAUCUUGGCCAACCACAUUCACGUCAUCGUUAACAAGUCAAAAUCACAUUAAAAAACACCAUUCCACCUCAAACUAAUCAUUCAUUUAUGUGCGGUUGUCGUCCCUAUAUUUCCGACAAGUCGUAACAACAACCUCAUAACAUUUUUCGUCAUCGUUAACACGCCAUGCAGUUCAAUAGCUCAUUCCACAACCCUGAAAAAUCAGCCCUCAUACUUUUGUAUAAACCGGGCCAGGGCCGAACAAUCUAAAUAUUUACACAUGUCUUCAUCAUUCACCAUUCAUUGUCAUCAUUUGUAACAAAUCCCACGCUUCUUUCAUUCAAAGUAGUUGUAUUUGCAUCCGUGAAGAAUCCCGUAUUUCUUUCAUUCACAAUCGUCAGAUUUGCAUUUGUAAGAAAUCGCACAUUUUCAAUCGCAAUUGACAUACUGUAAUUGCAUUUGUAAACAAUCCCCCAUUUCUUUUAUUCACAAUCGCAUUCGUAAAAUUCCCGCAUUUCUUCAUACACAAUCGUCAUAUUGGCAUUCGCAAAUAAAAAUCCCACGUCUUUCAUUCACUAUCGUUAUAUCUGCAAUUAUAAAAAAAAUCCCACAUUUCUUUUAUUCGCAAUCGUCAUAAUUGCAUUUUUGUGAAGAAAAGAAUCGCGAAUUUACGAUCAUGUAUGGAGGCGUGGGGGUUUUGGGCCGUCACCUCGUCAGGGAAUUUCCCAUGACUCAUGAUCAUGCAGCUGCAUGUUCAGACACGACACCACUGUCGCCGUAGACGUAGAGAAGCGUGUUUUGUGUUGCGUGCACUGGACAAACUUAACGUCUUUUGUGUGAAAUGGAAGAUUCAAGACUAAAGAAAACUAAAGUGGCAGUUUUCAAAAAUUAGGAUGCACUUUCAGGAACAUCAAGUUUCCAAAUGACGCAUUUACACUCUUUAUCCAGGCCUGUCCUCGCGAUCGUCAGGCAGUUAUAGCUGAGUCAACAGUCUUGAAAGGCACAGAAAGCCGCCUUCCGUAUCAAAACUCUCAUUCAGACUGCGUUAUUCCCUAAGGCCCUACUUAAACUCGAUAAUGCAUGUAUCAAGUCUAUAAUGUUAUAUGCUAUUGAGAUCUGAAGCAAAGAUCACUCAAAUGACAACUGCCCUGUUGAAAUAUUAACAUAUAGAACCGCUUUUGUAAAAACACCGAUCCGAUAAGUUAAUGCACACAGAAAUUCGUAUAACCUAGCUAGUGUAACCUUGCCAGUGCGACUAUCAUAAUGGCUAUGAAUACAGAUAAUGUAAGAACGCUAUAACGUUAGGGUGUUUUUUUAUACGUGUGUUUUACACAUGGUACUAGUAUGUCGCUGUGGCUUAUAGCACGCCCGCAGUCCCCGCCACGGCCAAUGGAAUGUUUGGAGAAUAUGUCCAAGCUUUCAAGUUUGGUGUGAUUCUUUUUUUUUACAUGUUGGCCGGUUGUUUGAUAUCUUUCUCCUCUUUCCUAGCUCCCCCUUUUCCGCUAUGGAAUAACCCAUGGUCGCUGGCCAAUGGGCUGCCUAGUAUUCAUAUUGCGUAAUGCAGAUGAAACGUAAACCAAGCUGAUUACGAACACAGCAGUCAUUUCGCUGCCAGACAGAGGGGAGACAACACGUGUCUGGGACCGGUCUCUGAUGAUUGAUUACAACUGCCCCCACGAAGUCAACGCACUCCCCUGCACUUCGGGGCUCAUCAUAAAGAUAAACAGGAUCAAAAGAAGUACAACUAUAAUACUUGCAGUGGAAAGGAAACAUCUCAUCGUCAUGGACUUCUUAUUCUAUUUCUUAUCACUUUUAUUAUUCUUAUUCAAAAGCGAAUCAACAUUUUGAAAUAUUUUCAAUAUUUCGUUGGGCUAAAGGGUUCAGGUACAGGUUAACAUGUGUGGGUCUCUGAUCUUUGCACAGGUCGGGCAAAUGA